CAAAAAAAUAAUAAGCCACUAAUAUAAACGGACAGUUUGUUAAACCGUACAUAUUAUAAUUUUCAGUUCAUCGGAGUGAGAUGAUUAGAUGGAGAUGGAUGAAGAUAGCUGUUUCUUCGGUGAUGGCGGCACUCUAUAGCUACGUUUCACCGGAAGAGUAGAUGUUUACGAAGUCGUUGCAGAAGACACAUUCGACUAAAAUUCUAAAAUUUCAAUAAGCAAAGAAGAUAUUCUAAGUUCUGUAUUCUGGAGCGUUUCCUCAUCGGCGUCGCAGUUCACACACGUCACGGAUACUGCCGAAAGAGUCCAUAAUUAAAACUGAACUUUUGGAUCGGAGAUAUGAAGACGCGCGCUGCAUUUUCCUUGGCGGAGAUGCACAGCUCUGACACUAGACAAUAUUAUACACUCGAAGGGAACGCGUUUCGCCGGAAGAAUAAAUAAUUACAAAUGGUAUUCGUCAGUGAACAUUUUCAAACUGGGAAUAAUAUAUCAUAAGCAGAUUGAAAUGUGUGAACGUUUCAGUGUUUCGAAGACUGUUUCGUAGCAGGUUUCGAUUCCGUCACAGGGUGGCAACUGCAACUGCUGUGUGUGUAUGUGUGUGUGCUGCAGGACUUAUGCGUAUACACGCUCAGCAGACUCUCCUCAAACGCCGCUGGCCAAUAUCCAAUUCAAAGUUUAUUAAAGCGUUGUUACCUGCGCAGCAGACUAUACAACUACUAUUAUACAGUACACUAUAUACGUAAACAAUAAUAUAAGAAUAUAGGUACGUAUUAUUAUUACAACACGACAUACACGCGCACGCCGCACACACACGCUGACUCAGUGGCUCACUGGCUCGUAACAA